CUUAGAAGUUUGGCUUAUAAAUUUGGCUUCUAAGUGCUUUGGAAAAUGCUAUUUUAUCUAUGAUUCCCAAGCUUGCAUUUCUUGGCCAAAGAAAUAAGGCUGUAACAGAGCAAGGAAGUGGAUGUAGACAUCCCAAAUGCCAAGGUAGUCUGUUCGACUUCAAUGUGUCAAAAAAUGGCUACCCUGAAUUCAUGUGUGAGGGUAAUAGAUUAUCUAGUUAAUUUUGGGGAGGUAAAGAACACUCCUCAUGUCAGACCAUUCAAAUGCUUAUGUGUAAUAUAAUAGUUAUUUCCAGCUCAGUUGUCCUCCAUUCUCCUCUAACUACAUAGCGCUGAUGGAGACUGAUCUAAGAUCUGAAGAUACUAAUGGAAACUGUAGUGGAAAUACCAUGGUUUCCAUUUGUUUCUGUAGAUCCCAGAAGACACCACCUAAGAGAAAAACUGAAGAACCAGAAAGGAACAAAAAUAGCUAGUGCUGGUCAUUGAGCUGUCAUUGUAGAAGCUUUUGUCUUGAAAUGGAGACAUUCACCUAAAAGCACGUUAAGCCAAGCAUGCUUAUCUCCAGAAGUAUUUCUAUACUGUUUCUGGAAAUCAGGUACUUAUUAAUAAGUGGGAAAGAUUCAAUAUAGUUACUUCCCUGUACACUAUCAGAAAAGACAAAAAUAAUUCCCUGGCCUGCUUUACGCACAGAAAGUAGCAAGAUAGGAAAAGGCUUUUCUUCUUUUUGCACUUUUUUUCUCUCACCCAUGGUGCACAGCACUGAACACAGUAAAUUUAUUUUGCAGUUCAUAACAUGUCAGCUUUGCUGUGUUUCUUUUAGCAGGGGAAGAUAAUUUCUUAAACUUUUAAUCAAAUUUUUGAUUCGCUCCUGCUCUCCCAGAGCUCAUAAUGCAAAUGCUUUCAGCUUUUCUAUUUCUUUGCUUGCAUCCAUUCUACUUUGAAAGAGCAUUAUAUAUAAUUUUGCUCCCUUUUCAUGCUCUUUUAUGAAACUCAGAGAUAAUGUUUGCAAGAAACUUAUGCUGCUGGUAAGCUUUCAUUCUGGAAACACAGGGAGGUGUCUGCUUGACAGUUACCUGUACUGCUGCUGAGGCUGUCUCUGCAGGGGUCUCACCUGGCCUGGCUUGGACCAAAUCAGCAAUAUGAAAAGGCAUUUUGAGUGUGAAAGAUAAAACCUUUUUUCUCACACUGUCUGCCGGGAAACCCAACCUAUUCAGGGAAAAAAAAAACCCAAACCA